GAUAUCUUUAUCUCCAAGUUUCUCCUGCAGCUCAUUUCACCAAGUUGAGUUUGGCUUCUAGAGCUCCUAUGUCCAUCUCAAAAAUCUGUCYUUCAGGUUGUACUGUGUGUACUCUGCUUAUUUGAAUGCGUUCAUACCUUUCUCAGUGCUGUAAUGUUGAUUGUGGUUGGAAGAAAGCUAAGAAAUUGUGUCCACAGAAAAAGCCGCAAGAGAAAAGGGUGGAUUUCUUUUAUUCCAUUUUGGAGAACUGUACAUUUCUUUCCAAGCCAGAGAAAGCAUCUGCCUUUGCGCUCAAGAAGAUAGUUUGAACAUCCUCUAAACAGAAGGAGCUGUAACUGGGAUCCCACUAACAGCAAGUGUACCGUACUGGAAGGAAGCUGAAACUGCUUCAUUGCAGUGGGAAGGUGAGCAAGAAGAAUCCUCCCCUUUUGAAACUUCCAAUAUCAUGUCAUCAUUAAUCUGUCUUCCACUGAUAGUGAAGUUUUACUUGCUCCAGUUGGAAAAUGCUGCARUAGAUGAUACUGUUUUGCUGUUUGCUCAAGCAGUGUUGGCUGUUCUGAGGAGCUCUUCCGGUUUGACUCUUCUUGCUUUGGUCUGAGAUAGACUAGUGAUUACUCUCUGCCCAUGUGGAACGGCAUUCUGCACAUUAUGUAACAGCAAUCCACCUCCUUAAUUAGGGAGCAAGAUGCACAGAUUCCAGAGAAGACUUGUCCCUCUUAGUCAGAAGACAUAUGAGGUGUGCGGGGGAGCCUUUGUUCUUGCUGGAAGCUAAGGGAAGGAGCAGAAUUUAACUUCAUCAUCCAGUUGCAUUAAUUUAGUUUCUUUUUUUAAUCUAGCCUUUGUUGGAACGUUUGUACGUACUUGUUAACUAAUAUUUCAGAAACAGGAGAUGCUGCAAACAGUGACUUUCUCAUUCCAUACGAUAGGAUUUUUACUCUGUGCUAGAAUAUUAAAUACUGGAGAUGUCAUGUCUUCUCCAUGGCCUUUUAACAGAAUGGUUAGGGUAGAGGCAGCAGUUUCAACACAUGAUUUAAGGUAAGUGCCUCAUUUGUUCCCUACUGUUUUCUCUGAACUUUGGCAUCGCAUUAAUUAUACUGAAACUGCUCCUUUCUGGAAGUACACGACAAGGCAAAACUAGCGUUUUUCAUCCAUUCUGUUGAGGACAGCUCUUGCAAAUCACCUUGUAUUCCAUUAAAAUUAUUAAAUCAUCGGUUCCAGUCUUCCCUGUACAAACAAUCAACACUAAAACAUUAUCUGGUAGUGCUGACUAACAAAUCUGCAAUUAGUAAUCUCCAGUUAAUGAAGCUGCAUGGUGAUUAAAGC
rnacentral:lncRNA from 1 species